UUUCAUCGUCGUAUAACAAAAUCAAGCUCCAAAAUUUCAUCGUUGUAGCAAAAAUGGAGCAACUUUUUGGAUUAUCAUCAGAGGAGAUUAAUUCGUGAGCUUGUUUUAGUAAAUACGGCAUAAGAUUUUUCGCUGGAGAUGAAGGUUUAGCAACCAUUCGACUAAUUCGUUUUCUUGUUGUCAUCAUCUAUUACAAUGGUUUCCGAUUAUUCUUUCUCCUCAUUUUUUACUUCGAUGUUUGAAAAUCACAUUGAUCAAGGAACCGUGGUUAGGAAUUGAUUUGUA